UGUCUUGGUAGAGGUGCGGAAGCCAUGAGUAGCGGGGCGCGCAAUUCCGAUCAGCUUCGGACGCCCGCGCGAAAGGGGCAUUUCAUUUUGUAGUUGUCUUCCGCCGAAAUCGCAGCGGUAGCUGAAACCGCGGCGGUUGGGGAACAGGUCGAAGGCCUGUUCACUGUCAUCCGAUCAUUCGGAUGAAGCGCUAUCGAGAGG
rnacentral:ncRNA from 2 species